AACGAACGCUGGCGGCAGGCCUAACACAUGCAAGUCGAGCGAGGACUUCGGUCCUAGCGGCGGACGGGGAGUUAAGGCGGGGGAAGUUGCCCUUGGUUCCGGAAUACCCCUGGGAAACUGGGAUUAAUACCGGUGGGGCCCUUUGGGGGAAAGAUUUAUUGGCGAAGGAUCGGCCCGGGUUGGUUUAGGUAGUUGGUGGGGUAAUGGCCUACCAAGCCGACGAUCCAUAGCUGGUUUGAGAGGAUGAUCAGCCACACUGGGACUGAGACACGGCCCAGACUCCUACGGGAGGCAGCAGUGGGGAAUCUUAGACAAUGGGGGAAACCCUGAUCUAGCCAUGCCGCGUGAGCGAUGAAGGCCUUAGGGUUGUAAAGCUCUUUCAGCUGGGAAGAUAAUGACGGUACCAGCAGAAGAAGCCCCGGCUAACUCCGUG
rnacentral:rRNA from 1 species